rnacentral:lncRNA from 1 species
CUAAAUCUUUACCUGGAGAAGCCAGUGCAUUUUUUCCAAUUACCUAACUGACAAAAUGGUGUGAUCAGAGCUACAGAUCAAAACACACUCAGAAAUGUUUGACAAACAACAAUGAUAAUUGAAAAUCAACUGUCUCAAGAUAUGCAUGAAGUGCGGAUGAGAUAAUGCCUGGUUAUGUGUUGCCAAGGCUUCUCUUACCCUUGAUUUCUGCAUCUUCCCAGACCCCCUGAGAGGUCAGGAGUAGGCUCUUCCCUGAAACCACAGGGGGGAAGGAAAUAACAUCAGAACAGCAACCUAUUGACUAGUCUGCUGUCACUCCCAAGCUGCUGCUCCUGCAUCUUAUUCUGCCUUACCUGCUGCUUCAGAAGUGCUGUGCCUGUACCGACUGUAGCCAUGUGCUGUGCUGGGUGAGCUGGGUGACAGUGAUGGAGGAGAAAGGAGCCCAACUCUAACUGCACUGGAGACACAGCAGCACAUUCCUGGGGCUCUUAGCGGGGAGCUUAGGGGUCCUGCUUCUUCAGUCCCACAUAUGGAUGCAAGAGCUAAAAGAGGCCAACAGCCUGGGCUCCAUCACCCAGUGCUCCCUCAGUUGCCACGCUAGCUGUCACAUCCUCUUGAUGUGACACUUUUCUCAUCCAGCCACUUGCUGCCUAUUGUCCUAUUUGUCAACUCCUGGGGCCCAGUGUUUUCCCCAGAGUCAAGAGCUGUGUUGUGGAAGAGGAGGGGUCAGAAGGGUAAGUAGGGCGUGCAAACACAAAACAGAGAAAGCCAG